CCAGAGUCCCCGCCUACCGCUCAGUGUUGCCGCCACGUCCAGCCUUAUCUGGUGGGUGGGAGGGGCCCACGCAGGGAAAUAGCGAGGUCCGGGCUGGGAGAGGGCGGGGCGGGUUACCGUGAUGCCCCCGGCGGCCCGCAGCGGCCAUGCAGUCGCUCGUUUCGCCCGUGACUAAGGCCGUGCUGGUGGCGCUCUUCAUCUUCGCUAUCCUCCUCAUCCUCUACGUCAUCUUGUGGUACAUCUGCCGCGACGUGGACUGCGACCACGGCCUGUGACGUCAUGCCUCCAAAGACACGCCCACCAUAGAAUGCCCGACACCACCUUGAGGGAUGCGGAGAACGCCUAGGGUCACCUUGCGGCUCUGGGGCUUCGUGUCUGCUGGGUGGGGGGCGGAGCCCGAGGCUGGUGUCCCCGCCCCCCACGCUGCGUGAUGAAGUUGUUGAGUGAUGAGAUUGCAGUCAGCCCAAGGAUGGAGUGUUCACCAUUGCCUCACAAACCAUGAGCCCCUCUCCUGUGGGUGGGCGGGGCUCUCCGGUUGAUGACGUCGCUGCUGCCCCAUCCCCGCCACAAUGCCUCACCUAGGGGCGCUGCAACCCAUGAAGCUGACGCUGAUGAUGACCUUACAUCGCGCCGGUAACACCCCAUCCCUUGCCCUGAAACAGGAAGUGGGUAGGCAGAAGCCAGCCCCGCCCCCGUGGCCUGUCCUUGAGUCUGUCGUCUGUCCAGUGUUUUUGUUUCCACCACCGCCAUUUUGUAACAUGUCUGGUCUGUGCUAAUGUCCCUGUGACGUUGCCUGUGAUGUCAGCACCUGCGGGGUAGGGAUCUCAGCCCCAUCCACUUCCCAUCAGCCCCUCACCCCAUACCACACAGAAAUAAAAAUAAAAUAUUUUUGACAUCUGCUUCCAGAUUA